rnacentral:rRNA from 1 species
UACAGAGGUCUCAAGCGUUGUUCGGAUUCAUUGGGCGUAAAGGGUGCGUAGGUGGUGAUGCAAGUCUGGUGUGAAAUCUCGGAGCUCAACUCCGAAAUUGCACCGGAUACUGCGUGACUCGAGGACUGUAGAGGAGAUCGGAAUUCACGGUGUAGCAGUGAAAUGCGUAGAUAUCGUGAGGAAGACCAGUUGCGAAGGCAGCUCGCUGGGACGUGACUGACGCUGAGACGCGAAAGCGUGGGGAGCAAACAGG